rnacentral:rRNA from 1 species
GGUAAUUCUAGAGCUAAUACAUGAGCAAAAUCUCAACUUUAUUAGAAGAGACGCAUUUAUUAGAUAAAAAGCCAGUUCAUGCUUUUAUAGUAUGAAAAUUGGUGAUUUAUAAUAACUUAGCAAAUCGCAAAGUGAAAACAGGCGAUAAAUCAUUCAAGUUUCUGACCUAUCAGCUUUCGACGGUAUGGUAUUGGCUUACCGUGGCAGUGACGGUUAACGGGGGAUUAGGGUUCGAUUCCGGAGAGGGAGCCUGAGAAACGGCUACCACAUCUAAGGAAGGCAGCAGGCGCGCAAAUUACCCAAUUCUAACAGUUUGAGAGAGGUAGUAACAAGAAAUAACAAUACAAGGCAGUUAAAAUGCUUUGUAAUUGGAAUGAUAGAAAUUUAAACCCUUUUUAAAGUAUCAAUUGGAGGGCAAGUCUGGUGCCAGCAGCCGCGGUAAUUCCAGCUCCAAUAGCGUAUAUUAAAAUUGUUGCAGUUAAAAAGCUCGUAGUUGAAGUUCUGCUGAAAGUAACCGGUCUGCUUUUAAUAAAAGUGGUAUCUUGGUAUGUAUUUAGCAAUGAUGUCCUUUGAAAUGUUUUUUACUUUAUUGU